rnacentral:pre_miRNA from 1 species
UUGUCUCUUAGAGUUCCUUUGAACGCUUCAUGCAUGAAACUAUUAUCUAUUUGGUCUACAAUCCAUUAGAAUUGAUAGUCCCUUAUUGAAUGAAGUGUUUGGGGGAACUCUUAGGUUCAA